AGUGAACGCUGGCGGUAGGCCUAACACAUGCAAGUCGAACGGCAGCACAGUAAGAGCUUGCUCUUACGGGUGGCGAGUGGCGGACGGGUGAGGAAUACAUCGGAAUCUACUUUUUCGUGGGGGAUAACGUAGGGAAACUUACGCUAAUACCGCAUACGACCUACGGGUGAAAGCAGGGGAUCUUCGGACCUUGCGCGAUUGAAUGAGCCGAUGUCGGAUUAGCUAGUUGGCGGGGUAAAGGCCCACCAAGGCGACGAUCCGUAGCUGGUCUGAGAGGAUGAUCAGCCACACUGGAACUGAGACACGGUCCAGACUCCUACGGGAGGCAGCAGUGGGGAAUAUUGGACAAUGGGCGCAAGCCUGAUCCAGCCAUACCGCGUGGGUGAAGAAGGCCUUCGGGUUGUAAAGCCCUUUUGUUGGGAAAGAAAAGCAGCAGGUGAAUACCCCGCUGUUCUGACGGUACCCAAAGAACAAGCACCGGCUAACUUCGUG
rnacentral:rRNA from 1 species